UGGUUCCAAGAAAAGCCUCUAAGCUUCAGUCUAACGAUGACCGUACCGCAAACCGACACAGGUGGGCGAGAUGAGUAUUCUAAGGCGCUUGAGAGAACUCGGGAGAAGGAACUCGGCAAAUUGGUACCGUAACUUCGGGAUAAGGUACGCCCUUGUAGCUUGACUGGCCAGCGCCAGGAGGGUGAAGGGGUUGCAAUAAACUGGUGGCUGCGACUGUUUAAUAAAAACACAGCACUCUGCAAACACGAAAGUGGACGUAUAGGGUGUGACGCCUGCCCGGUGCCGGAAGAUUAAAUGAUGGGGUGCAAGCUCUUGAUUGAAGUCCCGGUAAACGGCGGCCGUAACUAUAACGGUCCUAAGGUAGCGAAAUUCCUUGUCGGGUAAGUUCCGACCUGCACGAAUGGCGUAACGAUGGCCACACUGUCUCCUCCCGAGACUCAGCGAAGUUGAAGUGUUUGUGAUGAUGCAAUCUACCCGCGGCUAGACGGAAAGACCCCAUGAACCUUUACUGUAGCUUUGCAUUGGACUUUGAACCGAUCUGUGUAGGAUAGGUGGGAGGCUAUGAAACCGGAACGCUAGUUUCGGUGGAGCCGUCCUUGAAAUACCACCCUGGUUUGUUUGAGGUUCUAACCUUGGUCCGUGAUCCGGAUCGGGGACAGUGCAUGGUAGGCAGUUUGACUGGGGCGGUCUCCUCCCAAAGGGUAACGGAGGAGUACGAAGGUACGCUAGGUACGGUCGGAAAUCGUGCUGAUAGUGCAAUGGCAUAAGCGUGCUUAACUGCGAGACCGACAAGUCGAGCAGGUGCGAAAGCAGGUCAUAGUGAUCCGGUGGUUCUGUAUGGAAGGGCCAUCGCUCAACGGAUAAAAGGUACUCUGGGGAUAACAGGCUGAUACCGCCCAAGAGUUCAUAUCGACGGCGGUGUUUGGCACCUCGAUGUCGGCUCAUCUCAUCCUGGGGCUGUAGCCGGUCCCAAGGGUAUGGCUGUUCGCCAUUUAAAGAGGUACGUGAGCUGGGUUUAAAACGUCGUGAGACAGUUUGGUCCCUAUCUGCCGUGGGCGUUGGAUAUUUGAAGGGGGCUGCUCCUAGUACGAGAGGACCGGAGUGGACGAACCUCUGGUGUACCGGUUGUGACGCCAGUCGCAUCGCCGGGUAGCUAUGUUCGGAAGAGAUAACCGCUGAAAGCAUCUAAGCGGGAAACUCGCCUUAAGAUGAGAUAUCCCUGGAGGCUUGACCUCCUUGAAGGGUCGUUCGAGACCAGGACGUUGAUAGGUCGGGUGUGUAAGCGCAGUAAUGCGUUCAGCUAACCGAUACUAAUUGCCCGUAAGGCUUGAUCC
rnacentral:rRNA from 1 species